AAAUGCGUUAAGUAAUGUGAAUUGCAGAAUUCAGUGAAUCAUCGAAUCUUUGAACGCACAUUGCGCCCGCCAGUAUUCUGGCGGGCAUGCCUGUCCGAGCGUCAUUUCAACCAUCAAGCCCCCGGGCUUGUGUUGGGGACCUGCGGCUGCCCGCAGGCCCUGAAAACCAGUGGCGGGCUCGCUGUCACACCGAGCGUAGUAGCAAUCACCUCGCUCAGGGCGUGCUGCGGGUUCCGGCCGUUAAACAGCCUUACAAAACCCCAGGUUGACCUCGGAUCAGGUAGGAAGACCCGCUGAACUUAAGC
rnacentral:misc_RNA from 1 species